rnacentral:rRNA from 1 species
GACGAACGCUGGCGGCGUGCUUAACACAUGCAAGUCGAGCGGUAAGGCCCUUUCGGGGGUACACGAGCGGCGAACGGGUGAGUAACACGUGGGUGACCUGCCCUCAGCUCUGGGAUAAGCCUGGGAAACUGGGUCUAAUACUGGAUAUGACUCCACGGUGCAUGUCGUGGGGUGGAAAGCCUUGUGCGGCUGAGGAUGGGCCCGCGGCCUAUCAGCUUGUUGGUGGGGUGANGGCCUACCAAGGCGACGACGGGUAGCCGGCCUGAGAGGGCGACCGGCCACACUGGGACUGAGACACGGCCCAGACUCCUACGGGAGGCAGCAGUGGGGAAUCUUGCGCAAUGGGCGAAAGCCUGAUGCAGCGACGCCGCGUGAGGGAUGACGGCCUCGGU